CAGGAAAUUUUUUCAAAAAUAUGUUCGCCGAAAAAAUCAUUAUAUGCAAAAUAGGUGAUAAAGUCCCAUAAGAAUUUAUUUUUGUCAGCAAUUUAACUUAAAUCCCGCCAAGUACGAACGAGAAUUCAGAAAAUAUCAUAUCAGCAUUGUCGGAGGAAUCGGUGUAUUUUUAAAAAUAGAUGCACCACAUUGAAUCUGUGCACCAGGCAUAUCUGCAAAAAAAAUGAUGGCGUUCACAAACGAAAUUUGUGCCGAGCUCAAUUUACCGGUUGAAUUUGCUGAAAUAUUUACAAUUUGUGAGUACACUAAGGAAGCAUUAAAAACUGUUACCAAGCUCCAAAACAAGCUUCCAAAUCCAGUGUCUACAGUAAAUAUUUAGUCGCAACAAGAAGAGGAGUCAUCAUUGAACAGUGUACAACAGAUCGGUAUCGUGACCAGCAUUCAUCAUCAAGACACAGACGGUUCAAGUGUAGUCAAGACAUUGCAGACGAUACCGAACGACUUCAAUUCUACAGAGUACUGUAAUCUACUUCACUCAGGCAGUUCUUCACAAGUGGUCGAUGACACACAAAGUCAUACCGUGUUUCUGCAGAACAUUCAUACACAAGCCAAAACAAAUAUUUUUGACUCUGCAGCCAUUAAUUCUGUUGCUAAAUCGAAUCCGGAAAAUUUGAACGAACAAAUUUCGAAACAUCUCCAAACAGCACUCAUCUACCAUCAAAAAGAAAGCGGCAGGGCAUAAAGAUUUGUGGAACACACCCAUAAUUCUCAAAAUUUUUAUCAGGAAAAUUGUCGAGGACUUGACCAUGUUCCGGAAUCAGAGGUAGCAAGUGACACUGUUAUUACAUCUUCUUGGUAGUGUAUAGAAAGAUCCGAUUUGAUUGAAAUAUUUGGACUUAAACAAGUUAUGUGAAUUGUUGAAGGCAGCAGUUACCGGUCAACAACUAAUAAGUCGUGCUCAACAAGGACUGUUAUCCGAUAAGAGUCAAGCGGAAUUAGUCUCCAUAAUCUCGGAAUAUCAUAUGAAUUCAAAUGGAAAAAUCACGGAAGAAAUUCUUAAAACCAACACUAAGGCUAUUACAAUGCUAUUCAAAAACGAAAAACCGGAAAUGUGUUCCACGAAAUCACGGUGGAAUAUUAUACAACAGUAUCGUUAACGCAAGGCAAAAAGUCGCCAAACGUAAACUGAAGUAAGAGGAACAUCUAGCAAAAUCGAUGUGGUUCAUUCACGACCCUCACCCCUCAGGAGAGGAAGCAUUGAACUGGCUCAACACUAAACCGUGGGCAACAACUCUUGAGAAGUGGUCUGUAAGUUUCAAUUGUCGUCAGUCCAAACCAAAACCGUUUGAUACUGAGUUCGCCUUGAAACAAUUUCGUCACUACGCAGAAACGUUCGGGUACCAGCUGGAAAUUUUUUUUUUAUUUUAAUCCAGUUUUCAUAACAAUAUUUUUCUGAUUUACAGAACGUAGGUGGUUAUAACCGUCAUUACCUUUCAUAUGAAGCAGUAGCGAAGCUAGAAGAAAUACAUAUAAUAGGAAUACAAGGCAAGGCAAGGUUUCCCAACAGAAUUACACAA